UAUGGCCAUACCACUCUGAACAUGCCCAAUCUCCUCUGAUGUUGGAAGGUAAGCAGGGUCGGGCCUGGUUAGUACUUGGAUGGGAGAAGAUGCACAACUCAGUCCUCAGGGAAAUGCAAAUCAAAACUAUAA
rnacentral:rRNA from 1 species